rnacentral:rRNA from 1 species
AGAGCGAACGCUGGCGGCAGGCCUAACACAUGCAAGUCGAGCGCCCGUAGCAAUACGGGAGCGGCAGACGGGAUAGUAACACGUGGGAACGCGCCCUUCGGUUCGGAAUAACUCAGGGAAACUUGAGCUAAUACCGAAUACGCCCUUACGGGGAAAGAUUUAUUGCCGAAGGAACGGCCCGCGUCCGAUUAGCUAGUUGGUGAGGUAAUGGCUCACCAAGGCUACGAUCGGUAGCUGGUCUGAGAGGAUGACCAGCAUCACUGGGACUGAGACACGGCCCAGACUCCUACGGGAGGCAGCAGUGGGGAAUAUUGGACAAUGGGCGCAAGCCUGAUCCAGCCAUGCCGCGUGGAUGAUGAAGGCCUUAGGGUUGUAAAGUUCCUUUUAACGGGGAAGAUAAGUGACGGUACCCGUAGAAUAAGCCCCGGCUAACUUCGUGCCAGCAGCCGC